rnacentral:rRNA from 1 species
AUUGAACGCUGGCGGCAGGCCUAACACAUGCAAGUCGAGCGGAUGAAGGGAGCUUGCUCCUGGAUUCAGCGGCGGACGGGUGAGUAAUGCCUAGGAAUCUGCCUGGUAGUUGGGGAUAACGUCCGGAAACGGGCGCUAAUACCGCAUACGUCCUGAGGGAGAAAGGGGGGGAUCUUCGGACCUCACGCUAUCAGAUGAGCCUAGGUCGGAUUAGCUAGUUGGUGGGGUAACGGCCUACCAAGGCGACGAUCCGUAACUGGUCUGAGAGGAUGAUCAGUCACACUGGAACUGAGACACGGUCCAGACUCCUACGGGAGGCAGCAGUGGGGAAUAUUGGACAAUGGGCGAAAGCCUGAUCCAGCCAUGCCGCGUGUGUGAAGAAGGUCUUCGGAUUGUAAAGCACUUUAAGUUGGGAGGAAGGGCAGUAAGUUAAUCCCUUGCUGUUUUGACGUUACCAACAGAAUAAGCACCGGCUAACUUCGUG